rnacentral:rRNA from 1 species
AGCGGCGGAUGGGUGAGUAACACGUGGGGAACCUGCCCCUAAGUCUGGGAUACCAUUUGGAAACAGGUGCUAAUACCGGAUAAUAAAGCAGAUCGCAUGAUCAGCUUUUGAAAGGCGGCGUAAGCUGUCGCUAAGGGAUGGCCCCGCGGUGCAUUAGCUAGUUGGUAAGGUAACGGCUUACCAAGGCGACGAUGCAUAGCCGAGUUGAGAGACUGAUCGGCCACAUUGGGACUGAGACACGGCCCAAACUCCUACGGGAGGCAGCAGUAGGGAAUCUUCCACAAUGGACGCAGGUCUGAUGGAGCAACGCCGCGUGAGUGAAGAAGGUUUUCGGAUCGUAAAGCUCUGUUGUUGGUGAAGAAGGAUAGAGGUAGUAACUGGCCUUUAUUUGACGGUAAUCAACCAGAAAGUCACGGCUAACUACGUGCCAGCAGCCGCGGUAAUACGUAGGUGGCAAGCGUUGUCCGGAUUUAUUGGGCGUAAAGCGAGCGCAGGCGGAAAAAUAAGUCUAAUGUGAAAGCCCUCGGCUUAACCGAGGAACUGCAUCGGAAACUGUUUUUCUUGAGUGCAGAAGAGGAGAGUGGAACUCCAUGUGUAGCGGUGGAAUGCGUAGAUAUAUGGAAGAACACCAGUGGCGAAAGGCGGCUCUCUGGUCUGCAACUGACGCUGAGGCUCGAAAGCAUGGGUAGCGAACAGGAUUAGAUACCCUGGUAGUCCAUGCCGUAACGAUGAGUGCUAAGUGU